AUGCCGUUCGCCGGGAUUGCCCUCGCGCCUCUCCUCGUCUCCCCUCUCGCGCCUCCCUCUCCCCGUGGCAGCGUUGCCGCCGUUUCUGCAGAGCCCGCGAGAAGGCGCCGCACUCUACGGCGAGUGCGGUGCCCCGCCGCAGCGGCGUCCGGCGGAGGCGAGCUUUCCCGCGCGACGCUGCUCUGGAGGGCGGCCAAGCUGCCCAUCUACUCCGUGGCGCUCGUGCCGCUCACCGUAGGGACUGCUGCUGCUUAUAACCAUGCCGGGUUGUUCUUUGCCAGGCGCUACUCUGGCCUCCUGGCUGCUGCUGUCCUUGUGAUCACAUGGCUCAAUCUGAGCAAUGACGUUUAUGAUUCAGAUACUGGCGCUGAUAAGAACAAAAAAGAAUCUGUCGUCAACAUUGUUGGCAGUCGGGCAUUGACACAAUAUGCAGCGAACCUUUCUCUUCUGCUCGGCAUUGGUGGGCUAUUUUGGGCCUUUGCAGAAGCAGGGGAUGUCAGGUUCAUCGUUUUGGUGCUAUGUGCAAUCCUCUGUGGUUAUGUUUACCAGUGCCCGCCGUUCCGAUUAAGUUACCGCGGCCUAGGCGAACCAUUAUGUUUUGCUGCAUUUGGCCCAUUGGCCACGUCAGCUUUCUACUUCUCAAACAGCAGCAGAAGCAUUUCAAGCGGGGCUGUGCUUCUCCCUCUCAGCAAAACAGUCGUAGCUUCAUCGAUUCUUGUUGGGUUGACAACCACCCUGAUACUCUUCUGCAGCCACUUUCAUCAGAUUGACGGAGAUAGGGCUGUUGGAAAGAUGUCUCCCCUGGUCAGAAUCGGCACCAAAACAGGCGCGACAUUAGUGACGGUUGGGAUCGGCGCCCUCUACACUCUCUUGACUGCUUUCGGCAUAAGCAGAUGCCUCCCACCAUCCUGCAUUGUCCUUGGCGCCAUGACUCUCCCUCUGGGCAAAUGGGUUGUGGACUACGUGCAGAGGAACCAUGAUGAUGACACCAAGAUCUUCAUGGCCAAGUAUUACUGCGUGCGGCUGCACGCCUUGCUCGGGAUGGCCCUGGCUUCCGGUCUGGUGCUGGCCAGGAACGGCGUACUAGCCUGA
rnacentral:rRNA from 1 species